rnacentral:rRNA from 1 species
GACGUAGGUGGCGAGCGUUAUCCGGAUUUACUGGGCGUAAAGGGUGUGCAGGCGGGAGGACAAGUGGUGUAUGAAAUGGCUCGGCUCAACCGGGCGAGGUUAUGCCAGACUGUCUUUCUAGAGUGCGAGAGAGGGGCAUGGAAUUCCGGGUGUAGUGGUGAAAUGCGUAGAGAUCCGGAGGAACCCCAGAGGCGAAGGCGGUGCCCUGGCUCGCAACUGACGCUCAGACACGACAGCAUGGGGAGCGAACGGG